GAUGAACGCUGGCGGCGUGCCUAAUACAUGCAAGUCGAGCGAACAGACGAGGAGCUUGCUCCUCUGACGUUAGCGGCGGACGGGUGAGUAACACGUGGAUAACCUACCUAUAAUACUGGGAUAACUUCGGGAAACCGGAGCAAAUACCGGAUAAUAUCUUGAACCGCAUGGUUCAUUAGUGAAAGACGGUUUUGCUGUCACUUAUAGAUGGUUCCGCGCCGCAUUAGCUAGUUGGUAAGGUAACGGCUUACCAAGGCAACGAGGCGUAGCCGACCUGAGAGGGUGAUCGGCCACACUGGAACUGAGACACGGUCCAGACUCCUACGGGAGGCAGCAGUAGGGAAUCUUCCGCAAUGGGCGAAAGCCUGACGGAGCAACGCCGCGUGAGUGAUGAAGGUCUUCGGAUCGUAAAACUCUGUUAUUAGGGAAGAACAAAUGUGUAAGUAACUAUGCACGUCUUGACGGUACCUAAUCAGAAAGCCACGGCUAACUACGUG
rnacentral:rRNA from 1 species